ensembl:lncRNA
AGGAACACUUCCUUGUAAAGUUCACGUCCUGAAAAGAUGUUGGAUUUUUGAAUCCAUUAUUCAACAGGGUUGUUCUUAAAUGCAGUUUUGAUUCACUGGAUCCUCUGUAGUGAAUGGGUGCCGUCAGAUGCUUGAUAUUUCUCUCCCGAUUCACACAAUACUUUUUCACAGGAGUGAUUUGCUUCAUUUUUGCAUUUAAUCAGCUGUGUUUUGUGAUUUUUAGUUGGUGUAUGAAGGCAGCUGAACUAUGUUCCAUAAAUGUUUCAUAAACACAAAGUGGUUUUUAUUUCAAACACUUUAUCUAUUGUUUUAACAUUUAAAAUGGUACAAACUUCAAGGUAUGCUUAUGGUUAUGCAAUCCCAGUUUACAAAUAUAUGUUGUAAUGUUCCCAUUAAUUUAUGAAAACAAUAUUUCUGAAUUGUUCUCUAAACAUUUAAAAAAAUGUUCAGUUUUUUAAAUGUUUUGAAUUUUCUUUUUUUCUUGGUUGCAUAAACGUUAAGGAAAUAUUACAUUUUAUUGUUUGUAAACAUUCUGUAAACAAAUUUAAAAUGUCUAAUGAAUGUAGUGCUCAACACUGAUUACUGUCAGACUUCUUCACUUGAAUUAAGAUUAUAAUAAUUUAAUUUUAAAGCACAGCCACCACAAAGUCAGACUUUAGCAACUCUUUUUACUUUGAGGUCAUUAUGAGGUUAAAUACGGAUUUAAAAUCAUAAGUUAGUUUAAUAGUUAUAAGCAUGUGUCAUAUUCUGUGUUGUCAACUCCUGAAACAUUGGUGUCUCAUAUUUUAGAGUAGUCAACGCAAUUUGGGAAAGAAAUCAAUCAAAUCUGUAUGUAUUUUUGUAUUUUUAGCUGUAAUUUAAUUACACAUUACACACAACAGAUUACAGGUAAUUAAAUUACGUAAUUCCGUUACAUGUGACCAGUACUCCCCAACUCUACCUGUGCGUCCAAAUGUGUCCAAAUGUGUCGGGGGUCUCUCGUUUUGUACAGUGUCUCGGCUGUAGCUCCUCUGUCCGGUAGAGGGCGCGCUCUCCCGCUGCAGUUCUCGGUCUGUCCGUGCGGCGGCGCUGUGAGGCCGGUCCCGCUGGAACACGUCCGUGAGUGUGAGUCCCGGGGGCUGGAGCGCAGGAUGGCGGCGGUCGGUGCUGCUGCUGCUGAGGCCGAGUCGUCGGACAGUGAGCCGGAGCAGGAGCACGGAUCCCCGCAGAAGCUCAUUCGGAAGGUCUCCACGUCCGGUCAGAUCCGGAGCAAGGUUUGAGGAUCUUCAGCAUCUGAGCUGGAAAAUCAAAGGUUGAAUUAUGAGUUAUCGCUGUAGUGUUCACUAAUCAGUGUUUGUGAUCAGAAUCAUACUUACAACAGUGUUGACAUUUUGAGCUUGUUCCGUUACUGACAAACAGCUAAACGUCAGAUAAAGUGAUAGAGAACUUGUUCUUGCAGAAUUCACUUCCUGACAGCUUGAUCUUGUCAUUUUGACAGAAUUCUUUGAUUAAGUGCGUUCUUGUUGUACGUUGGAUCUGGUUUCAUUAAUGCAUAUCCCGAUUGCCCUUUUCGAAAGACUCAAAAAUAAACAUUCAAAGUCAUGUUUUUGCCA